GGGAGUGUGGCUCAGUGGCUGAGCACAUACUUUGCCUAUGAAAGGUCAUGGGUUCAAUCCCCAUUACCCUCC
rnacentral:tRNA from 1 species